AUACUCAACCUUUGGCUAAGAUCAAGUGUAGUUUCUAUUCUUAUCAAUUUAAUAUUUGAUACAUGGGGCAAUGCCUCACACGAUAUUACAUCAAUUUUUUGACAAGGGGAGGAUCCACCACAAUAGCUUGCUAUUGGGAUAUUCAUGAGUCAUUUAUGUGUUGUACUACUGCAAGAGACUGGCCCACCCCCU